GUUUACCAUCUAUAAUUCAACGAAGAAAUCCCUGCUCAGCACAGAUGCACACCUGAGAGAUCCGAGCAUGGAAACAACUGAAGGACGUGGAAUGAAGAGCAUCAAAAGGAUAAUGAGAGCAAUCUACAGGAAAUCAUAUCUGACCACUCACAGUAUCAACAGCAGUUCAGCCGCAGGAUACCCAUGAGCACUGGACAGUCCAGGACAUCCAAGGAGACAGCUAACCAAAGGAACUUCAGCAUCUGGAAGGCUGGACCAAGGCAGGGGUGCACUUGACAGGGAUGUCCACUGACCACACACCUCAAAAGGUGACACGGCUCAUUACCAGCCAGUUUUUUUGGUAAGAAGUGACCAGGCCCUAAUGCGUCAGUGUGAGCACACUGGCUUGA